rnacentral:rRNA from 1 species
UACGUAGGGUGCGAGCGUUAAUCGGAAUUACUGGGCGUAAAGCGUGCGCAGGCGGUUCGUUAAGUCAGAUGUGAAAGCCCCGGGCUCAACCUGGGAACGGCAUUUGAAACUGGCGGGCUGGAGUGUGGCAGAGGGGGGCGGAAUUCCACGUGUAGCAGUGAAAUGCGUAGAGAUGUGGAGGAACACCGAUGGCGAAGGCAGCCCCCUGGGCCAACACCGACGCUCAGGCACGAAAGCGUGGGGAGCAAACAGG